GAGUUUGAUCCUGGCUCAGGAUGAACGCUAGCGGGAGGCUUAACACAUGCAAGUCGAGGGGUAACAUGAGGUAGCAAUACUUUGAUGACGACCGGCGCACGGGUGAGUAACACGUAUGCAACCUACCCUGUACAGGGGGAUAGCCCGGAGAAAUUCGGAUUAAUACCCCAUAAAGAUAUUUAGAGGCAUCUUUAAAUAUUUAAAGCUUCGGCGGUACGGGAUGGGCAUGCGCAACAUUAGCUAGUUGGUAGGGUAACGGCCUACCAAGGCUACGAUGUUUAGGGGACCUGAGAGGGUGAUCCCCCACACUGGUACUGAGACACGGACCAGACUCCUACGGGAGGCAGCAGUGAGGAAUAUUGGUCAAUGGGCGUAAGCCUGAACCAGCCAUCCCGCGUGAAGGAAGAAGGCGCUAUGCGUUGUAAACUUCUUUUCCAGGGGAAGAAAACCCGCUACGUGUAGCGGCUUGCCGGUACCCUGGGAAUAAGCAUCGGCUAACUCCGUGCCAGCAGCCGCGGUAAUACGGAGGAUGCGAGCGUUAUCCGGAUUUAUUGGGUUUAAAGGGUGCGUAGGCGGAUUAAAAAGUCAGUGGUGAAAACCUGCAGCUUAACUGUAGAAUUGCCAUUGAUACUGUUAGUCUUGAGUACGGUCAAGGUAGGCGGAAUGUGUAAUGUAGCGGUGAAAUGCUU
rnacentral:rRNA from 1 species